rnacentral:rRNA from 1 species
AGAGUUUGAUCCUGGCUCAGAACGAACGCUGGCGGCAGGCCUAACACAUGCAAGUCGAAGGAGAAGCCGGACUUCGGUCCGGUGGAAACUGGCGCACGGGUGAGUAACGCGUGGGUAUCUACCUCGGGGUGGGAAAUAACCGCUGGAAACGGCGGCUAAUACCGCAUACGCCUUGCGAGGGAAAGCUCCGGCGCCCUGAGAGGAGCCCGCGUUGGAUUAGCUUGUUGGUGGGGUAACGGCCUACCAAGGCUACGAUCUAUAGCUGGUCUGAGAGGAUGAUCAGCCACACUGGGACUGAGACACGGCCCAGACUCCUACGGGAGGCAGCAGUGGGGAAUAUUGGACAAUGGGCGCAAGCCUGAUCCAGCCAUGCCGCGUGAGUGAAGAAGGCCUUAGGGUUGUAAAGCUCUUUCACCUGCGAAGAUGAUGACGGUAGCAGGAGAAGAAGCCCCGGCUAACUCCGUGCCAGCAGCCGCGGUAAUACGGAGGGGGCUAGCGUUGUUCGGAAUUACUGGGCGUAAAGGGCGCGUAGGCGGUAUGCCAAGUCAGGGGUGAAAGGCCUGGGCUCAACCUA